rnacentral:lncRNA from 1 species
AGAAAAUUUAAAGUCAAUAAAAUAAAAUAAUUAAACUCUGCUUUAUUUGGAUUUAAAAUUGUUUUUUAGCCUUUAAUGACAACGUAUGGUAGUUGUAAAUCUCAAUAGUGACAGAAGUUUUGAAAUAAUCAGAGUGGUAAACUACUAACAAAAUUUCGUUUGUUCCCCUUUGACCGAGGUCGAAAGUCCAGGCGUAUACGUAUUAUAUGUGGAAAUCUCAAUAAUUCCCUCCGACCGGAUAAAGAAGUCCGGAAAUAUCCGGAGUGGUAUACAAGUAAUUUUGUAGGUUUUUAUUUGAUAAGAGAUAAAUGCCCAAACAUAUAGGAGUUAAAGAAGGAAAUCUCAAUACCUUUACUUAGACCGCCUAAAUAUCCUGUCCUGAAUAUCGGGAGUGAUAUGAUAAUCAUUUCGCUAGGUUCUCUUUGACUUCCGUUGAAUGUCCGGACAUAACCACAUUAUGGGAGGUAAUCUCAAGUUCCCUCAGACUGGUGAAAGAAGUCUGGAAUUAUACAGAGUGUUAUAAUAACAAUUGCGUUGGUUUACCUUUGACCGGGGUUGAAAGUCCGGAUAUUUCCGGAUUCUUGGUGAAAAUCUCAUUAAAUUCCCUCAGACCGGUGGUACAAGUCCGGAAAUAUCCGGACCGAUACAAUACGAAUUUCGUUAAUUUCCAUUUGACGGGAGAUAAAAGUCAGCACCAAUCCAGAUUAUGCUCUAUUGACACUAAGUUCUUUUGCAUGCAGUUGAUAAUUUUCAUAAGUCAAAAUUUUCAAUAAGGUUAUAAAAAAAAAAUGUGCAAAAAAAAAAAAAAAAAAAAAAUAGAACAAAUACACAGAAAACGAGGAGAAAAUGAAAAAAAAAGAAAUUAACUUGACGUCAUCAAUCGACACCAUUGACGUUACCUUAGAAAAUUUAUAUUCAGAUUCAUGGAUAGUCCAAGUCUUAUAUUGACCCUUCGUGAUAUUUGCCGCGAUGAAUAAAAUGUUUUAUCAAAAAUUAUUUCCUUUGUUUUUAGCAAAUGACAUGACGGAACAUUUAUAGUCGUAUAAUAAAAUAAUUAAACUCUGGUUUGAUUGGAUUUAAAUUUUGUGCCUUUAAUGACAACGUAUGGUAGUAGUAAAUCUCAAUAGAUCACGCCAUCCAGUGACAGAAGUUUUUGAAAUACCCUGAUGAAUUGAAUCAACAUUUCGCUAGGUUCCUGUGGGUGAAAGUCCGGACAUAUCCGGAUUAUGGAUUGAAAUCCCAAUAAUUUCAAUCAGACCGACGAAAGAAGUCCCGAAUUAUCCGGAGUGGUAUAAUAACAAUUUCGUCGUUCUCCCUUUGACCAGGAACGAAUGUCUGGACGUAUACGGAUUACCUGUGUAUAUCUCAAUAAGUUCCUUCAGACCAGCGAAAGUAGUCCGAAGUAGUACAAUAACAAUUUUGCUAGGUUUCCUUUGACUUUCAAUGAAUAUCCGGAUAUGACCGGAUCAUGGGUGGAAAUUUCAAUUGAUUUCUUCAGAUCGAUGAAAGAAGUCCGGAAAUAAUCAGAGUGGUAAACUACUAACCAAAUUUCGUUUGUUCCCCUUUGAUCGAGGACGAAAGUCCAGACGUAUACGUAUUAUAGGUGGAAAUCUCAAUAAUUCCCUCCGACCGGA